UCUUGGAGCAACUUAAAGCCUACGGCCAAAUGAUGGUUCUCUAAGACAGAGGAGUCAUUGUACAUCAAGGCGAGUUCUGAGUCUGAAAGGAGAGAAGCAACAUAUCACCAAGAAACAUUCCUUUGAGCUCAUCCUGAAUUAAGAUGUUCCAGUUUUCUAAGCAUCACUAGAAACUGAGCACACAUCUUAGACUGUAAGCUUGCAGAGGGCGAAGGCCUGCUUGCUGUUGCUUUGCCAACACUGCAGCUAUACAUUAAGGACAAGAACUAAGGAUCUCCUGUUGUUCUUGUGGCAUGAAGAUGGGGCUAUGCUAGCCGAGAUGACAGACACCCAUCACAGUCCCACAGGUGCCAGCCAAGGCCCAACUGUGUUUGGAGGGUUCAGAGAAGGAACAGAACUUGUCCCUGAUCUCCUUAAAAGGGGCUAUUUAAGGAUACAACCAUGGAUCUAAGUAAUCUUACAGACCUGACUUAAGCCUCUCAAGAGUCAUCCGACUAAAAUUCUAGAAAACAACCCAACUAGAAGUCAACAAGCCAGAUGUGUGCACACAAUGUCCACUGGGCCAUUUCAAAGAAGCAGUAUUAUAAACAGAUGGAUCCCCAAAUUGUUGGCCAAUUCUCACAAACAGAAUUCAUCAAAGGAUCUGUUGUUC